AUGAUGGUCAUUCUGACCCAUGUGAAGUGAUACCUCAUUAUAGUCUUGAUUUACAUUUCUCUAGUAAUUAGCCGUGUUGUAUUUUCAUGUGCCUUUAGCCAUCUGUACAUCCUCUUUAGGAAAAUGUCUCUGAGUCUUCUGCCCUUUUUUUUUUUUUUUUGAUUGGAUUUGUUUUUUGGUCUUGAAUUCUUUCCCGUUGUGGCUCAGUGGAUUAAGGACCUGGCGUCUCUUGGAAGAUGUGUGUUUGAUCCCUGGCCUCAGUAGGUUAAGAUCCAGUGUUGCUCCAAGCUGCUUUUUUAGGUUGCAGAUGCAGCUGGGAUCCAGAUGCAUUGUUGCCUCGUCUGUGGUGUAGGACUCAGCUGCUUGACCCCUGCCCCGGGAACUUCUGUAUAUGCCACAGGUAUGGCCUUGAAAAGGGAAAAGUACAAAUUUGAUUCUUAUGUAUUCUCAUUGGUAACCACAUCAAUAGUUUAAAACAAGAAUCUCAAUCAACAAUCUCAAUCUCAAUUUUAAGGGAAGGAACAUUUUAUCCCUGAUAUUUAGAAUUGCUAAUGUUUGGGGAUAAUAAAACAAUUUUCAAGCAGUUUUAUUAUUGUAUUUGGAGUCCUUACAGAGAAAGUUCACCUACUUUUUGACUGCCGCUUGGUGAACUUCUCCCAUUGCCCCACUCUAGAUGUGUUACUACUUUGAGAGCAAUAACCCUAUAGUUUGUAAAUGUCUCUCUUCAGUAUCUUCUCUAUAUCUUUAUACACUUUAUCAUGAGUUUUUCAUUGUUUCCUCCUUUGGUCAGAGCUUAGUUUUAGCUUAUGUAGAAUUAUAAUACCCUGGUAAAGGGAAACUAUAAUAUGGAAAUUUAUGGUAAUGUGGCUUUUAAGCCUUUAGGAAGCAGAUAAAACUUUAAUGGUCGUAUAUUACCUAGUUCAUCUCAAUUAACAGUUACUGAAUGAUAAAUCAUUUUAGAAAUGACAGCCAAGUUUGGGGUUUAGUUGAAGAUAUGUUCAGGUCAUUAUGAAGACCUUAAUCAUUAUUUGGUAAAUAUAAGAGCAUAUUUUAUGAACUUAACGGGUUUUUUGAUAUUUGAAAUAUCCAUAAUGGGCAGAUCCAUAGAGGUAGAAAGUAGAUUAUGGUUGGGAGGUGAGGGAGGAGUGGGGAGUGACUGCUAACCGGUAUGGAAUUUCUUUGGAGUGUGAUAAAAAUAUUCUAAAAUGAAAUAGUGUUGAUUAUAUAACUCUGAAUAUAGCUAAAACCACUGAAUUGUACACUUUAAAGAACUGAGUUUUAUGGUAUAUGAAUUAUAUCUCAAAGCUGUUUAAAGAAAAGUCAGAUUUUAACACCCUUUUCAUUGUUUUCUUGCUUACUUUGAUUAUCUAUCAGGUUGAAGACUUAUUAGCUACUGGGUGGCUCUGUAAAUUAUUUUGUUGAUCCUGAAUCCUGAGUUUGUGCAAAGGAUAUCUUUAGUUUUUACAUGUUAUUUUAAGAAGUAAUCCAGUGGAGUCAGUUCAAGGGAAUGACAGGGGAAGAAUCUUGCAUUUGCUCAUUAAAUACCAGCCAGAUGCUAUCAUGUGGGUUAGGUAUUUUAUAUAUGUCUUUAUGUUCUUUACAUUUUAAAGGUAAAGAAGCUGGAGGGGUGGUGUGAUUUGUACAAGGUCACACAGUGUAAAAAUGGCAGUUCUCAGAUUUGACUGAGUACUGUAAGAGGCUAGUUGAGCCCAGUGUGUAGCUCCUCAUGGGGUCAGGCUGAAGUUUUUUAAGUAGUUGAUCUUUGUUUAUUGUAUUGUUUAUAAAGGGAGAGAGUGCCCUAAACAACUUCUGCAUAUUUGAAGCAAGGUAGCAAGUGCACUCUAAUGCAUAUUUCUGGAAGGAUUUGCUGCCCUUUAAGAAUGAUGGAGGUAGGAGUUCCCGGCGUGUGUCAGCAGAAACAAAUCCGACUAGGAACUGUGAGAUUGCAGGCUCUAUCCCUGACCUUGCUCUGCUCAAUGGGUUAAGGAUCCUGCAUUGCUGUGGCUGUGGCUACGUAGGCCAGCAGCUGUAGCUCUGAUUCAGCCCCUAGCCUGGGAACCUCCAUAGGUUGCGAGUGUGGCCCUGAUAAGCUAAAAAAAAAAAAAGAAGGAUGAAGGUUUGUUAAGUCAUUCAUAGUAGUACAGUAGGUGCAAUCAGUGUUUAAAACUUAAAAUGUGUUUUUAGAUAUUUACAUUUCAUUUACUAAUUUAUAUUCACAAUUAAAAUUUUAAAUCAAUGAGGGAUUUUAUAAGUUUAGUCUUUUCAGUUUUAAUCCCAAGUUUGUGUAUAGAUCUAGUCAUUACAACUUUGUCGGGAGAAAAAUAGGUAUAGAUAAAAUACAUAAUGUAUGGAAUGUUUUUUCUUCUAAUCAAAUGAUUUUAAUAUCCUGGAACCAAUUUUUUAUUUCUUCACUUGAAGUCUAGGAGAAACUAUUUGAUUCAUAAAAAUGUUUUAUGGCCAACUUUGGGUGGACACAAAGUUUACUUAACUAGUCACAGUAAAAGUGAUUUAGAAACCUGGCAUCUGUGUUAGAAAGUAGAGCAAUGGCAUGGAUAAAAUAUUUGGCAUUUCCUAAAAUCGCAUCCUGGAAUAUUUCUUGAGUAAAUAGAAAGGAAAGAGUUGAGAAUUGAUUUCAGUUUGGUGAACCAAAAUGGAAGUAAGGAAUAGAAAAUUAUCUAUUGUAGAGAGUUCCCGUUAAGAACCCAACUGGUAUCCAUGAGGAUGUGGGUUCCAUCCCUGGCCUCAUUCAGUGGGUUAAGCAUCCGGCCUUGCCAUGAGCUAUGGUGUAGGUUUCAGACAGCUCAGACCUGGCAUUGCUGUGGGUCUGGCCAUCAGCUAGAGUUGUGAUUUCUACCCCUAGUCUGGAUCGAGGAUGUGACCCUAAAAAGAAAGAUGACCUGUUGUAGUAAGUGGACAUGAACAGGUUAAAUGUCCUGAUGAGGGGGAGGUGGUCUUUGUUCUAAAGUAAAAAGUUUGAGUGAAGGGUAGACCCUUGGAACUUAAGGGAGU
rnacentral:lncRNA from 1 species